GUGAAGUGAUGAUUCAGUUUAUCCAUUCGCUGAGUGAGCCAUGCUGACCUCCUUCAAGCCCCAGUUCCUGUUCUAGGGACUUGGGCCGUGUGGCCUCCGGUGCUGUGUGGCCUGCAGCGUUCUGCUGUGGGUGCCAAGUACUGGGGGCUGCGGGAGGAUGGUCAGAGGUGGCAGGGUGGGAUAGAAGUCCCACUCACCAAGAUGAGUGGUAGAAUCUGAUCAC
ensembl:snoRNA SNORD17 small nucleolar RNA, C/D box 17